UGCAAGUCGAGCGGACAGAUGGGAGCUUGCUCCCUGAUGUUAGCGGCGGACGGGUGAGUAACACGUGGGUAACCUGCCUGUAAGACUGGGAUAACUCCGGGAAACCGGGGCUAAUACCGGAUGCUUGUUUGAACCGCAUGGUUCAAACAUAAAAGGUGGCUUCGGCUACCACUUACAGAUGGACCCGCGGCGCAUUAGCUAGUUGGUGAGGUAACGGCUCACCAAGGCAACGAUGCGUAGCCGACCUGAGAGGGUGAUCGGCCACACUGGGACUGAGACACGGCCCAGACUCCUACGGGAGGCAGCAGUAGGGAAUCUUCCGCAAUGGACGAAAGUCUGACGGAGCAACGCCGCGUGAGUGAUGAAGGUUUUCGGAUCGUAAAGCUCUGUUGUUAGGGAAGAACAAGUACCGUUCGAAUAGGGCGGUACCUUGACGGUACCUAACCAGAAAGCCACGGCUAACUACGUGCCAGCAGCCGCGGUAAUACGUAGGUGGCAAGCGUUGUCCGGAAUUAUUGGGCGUAGAGGGCUCGCAGGCGGUUUCUUAAGUCUGAUGUGAAAGCCCCCGGCUCAACCGGGGAGGGUCAUUGGAAACUGGGGAACUUGAGUGCAGAAGAGGAGAGUGGAAUUCCACGUGUAGCGGUGAAAUGCGUAGAGAUGUGGAGGAACACCAGUGGCGAAGGCGA
rnacentral:rRNA from 1 species